AUGUGGAAGCUCACUAAUGGAGGGACCUAUACUACAUCUUCGGCUUACAAAGCCCAGUUCGCUGGUCUUGUUCGCUCCAAUAUGCAGGCCAUGGUUUGGAAGGUGUGGGCGCCCCCAAAAUGUAAAUUCUUUGCUUGGUUGGUCAUUCAAAACAGAAUUUGGACGGCAGAUAGGCUUCAACAUAGGGGAUAGCCAAAUCGCGACCGGUGCCCUCUCUGCAACCAAGCGCGGGAAACGACGGCUCACCUCCUCUUCAAGUGUCGGUUCUCUAUGCGAGUCUGGAACGAUAUUUCACUUGGCUAG
rnacentral:rRNA from 1 species